UACGGGGGGGGCAAGCGUUGUUCGGAAUCACUGGGCUUAAAGGGCGCGUAGGCGGGUGUGCAAGUCUGCGGUGAAAGCCUCCAGCUUAACUGGAGAAGUGCCGUGGAUACUGCUCAUCUCGAGGAGGGUAGGGGCAUCUGGAACGUUGGGUGGAGCGGUGAAAUGCGUUGAUAUCCAACGGAACUCCGGUGGCGAAGGCGAGGUGCUGGACCCUUUCUGACGCUGAGGCGCGAAAGCCAGGGGAGCGGAA
rnacentral:rRNA from 1 species